rnacentral:rRNA from 1 species
GAUGAACGCUGGCGGCGUGCUUAACACAUGCAAGUCGAACGGAAAGGCCACAGCUUGCUGUGGUACUCGAGUGGCGAACGGGUGAGUAACACGUGGGUGAUCUGCCCUGUACUUCGAGAUAAGCUUGGGAAACUGGGUCUAAUACCGGAUAGGAAUCACAUGUGGGUGUGUGGUUGGAAAGCUUUUGCGGUAUGGGAUGAGCUCGCGGCCUAUCAGCUUGUUGGUGGGGUAAUGGCCUACCAAGGCGUCGACGGGUAGCCGGCCUGAGAGGGUGUACGGCCACAUUGGGACUGAGAUACGGCCCAGACUCCUACGGGAGGCAGCAGUGGGGAAUAUUGCACAAUGGGCGCAAGCCUGAUGCAGCGACGCCGCGUGGGGGAUGACGGCCUUCGGGUUGUAAACUCCUUUCGUCAGGGACGAAGCGAAAGUGACGGUACCUGGAUAAGAAGCACCGGCUAACUACGUG